rfam:Phaeodactylum tricornutum chloroplast, complete genome.
GGGGCUGAUCUGGUUUCGACAUUUAAAAAUAACUAAUGUAUGAUUCAGGGCGAAGCUUGUAUCCUUCGUAAAAAUCUACAAAAUUUUAAAUAAAUGCUAUUAAUAUAAUUUCUUUCGUUUCUAAAGCAGUAAUUUUUAAUAUUAAAAAAAAUUAUUCAAAUUUAUUACAAUUUGCUGUUUAACUGAGUAACUAAAUUUUAUUACCUAAUUUUGUUCACUACAUCUAAUGGCUUUAAACCUUUGUAGUUUAGACUAAUUUUAUUAAACAUUUGUUCUUUGAAACUAUACCUGUGAACGAGUACAUUAGAUAUUUUUAAAUGGACAUGGGUUCAAUUCCCAUCAGUUCCAUUU